CGUGCAGUCAUCUGGCGAUUUUAAGGCUUAAGAUGGUUAAGCCAAAAAGUUUUUUGUUUUUUUCAUUUCUCACAUCUUAUUUUCGCAGCUCUCCUUUUUCUCUCUUGUUCUCUAUUUUACUGUUCGAAGAUCCACAGAAACCCUAAUGGUUUCUGCUUCCCCAUUUUUCUUCUCUGUUCAUAUCCCUCAGAACUCCACAAACGGAGACCCUGAGGCUUCUGUUUCUUCUCUGACUCUCUAUUUCGCCCCUCCUCGAUCUCCCUUCUUCUUCUGUCUUCUUUUUCUCAUCUCUUCUCUGCAUCUCUCCUUGCAGGCCUGUAGCGUGGGUUGUGGGUGAUCUGAAACUCCGAGGUUUCAAAUCAAAGUUUCGAUUACUCCUUCUUAAAGCUGAUGCCGAGCUCAGUUUCUGGCCUGCUCGUUCCGAGAUGGUCACAAGAAGGAGAAUUUGAAAAUGAAACUUAUACAGGGACCUCCUGCGAGCUUAGUGUUGCUCUAACUCUCCUUUUCUUUCAUUUUUUGUGUAUGAUGUGUGCGAUACUGAUUGAGUGUUGAUCGCUUGAUGUUUGUGAUCUGGAUUUCGAAGUGGUUAUGGUUAGAGAUCAACUUGCCGAUUAGGGUUGGAUUGCGGGAGUGAGACCAUAGACUCGUCUUUUACCCGACGAGUUGGGCGAAUAGAACCAGGGUUGACCCGUGUGAGUCAACCCGGAUGAGUUGUGUGAAGCAUCUGCAGGUGACCCACAUGUGCAGGUCACGUGUAGGCCUUAAGUGGAGUGGGCCCUAGCAUUUAGGGAGUGAGUUUGCGACUGAGUGAAUUGUCUUUUGAAAUAGGUCAAAGUUUAUAAAAUAGGCCGGCAAUCUGAUUUUUAAAACGGGUCCGGUUUCUUUUAAAAUGAAGGCCGGUCCGCCUUUCUUUUUUUAAAAUGGGGCGUGGAGUUUUUUUAGGGUCGGCCCAUUUCUAUUUCUUAAAACAAAUCCGGAGUGAAUUUUAGAAACGGGGCCCACAGGAGUUUUUAGAACGGGCCGGCCCAAAGGGGUUUUAAAAUGGGUUCGGCCGGGAUAAUGGUGAGGAUCCGAACUUGAGCUUGGGUUCAGGGGUCGAGGAUCGGACCCAAGGAAACAUCAGAGAAAAAGAACCCGAAUUUAGGUUUGGGUUCAAACCAGGUGAGGGUUUGUUUUGGGUCGGAUCGUUCUUAGGUUUACCUUGGAUCUAAGAAAUGGAUGAACACCUGCAUUCACACACCCACAGUACAGAGUCUGAGAAUUAGGAAAACGAAGGGAAAUUUACCUAGGGUCUUGUACUCCUCCGGUUCUCUUCUCCGGCGGCUGGAUCUGAGUUGGUCUGAAUGUGAACUAUCCCUCGGCCACUGCUCCCCUCUGCUCUCAAUUCCCGGCCCCAAAUUCUACAGAAUGCUACGGGCUUCUCUCUUUCACACUAGCAGAAGCUACCCUCUGCUCUCAAUUUCUGCGGGGUUUCGCUUCCUCUUUUUAUUUUUAUUUUCUUUCCUGUCGGUUGUUUUUCCUUCUCCUAAUUUCUGCAGAUUAUUCCUAUGCUCUUCCAGAGGUGUCUCGCUACAGUAGGAGUCCAGGGGUGCGUUUUGGCGUCAAUUUCCUCAGCAAUUCCCACUAACGUCAGGGAAUAAUUUUUCCCGGCACGUGUGAUUGAUUUGGUUCUUGAUUUUGCGGAUUUCUUGGCUAUCCAAUUCUCAGUCCCUGCGCAGGUAAAUUGAAGUGAUCCAGUGGCAACACAGGAAUGGAGAGCAUUUGGGAGGUUUCCGUAUGGCAGCACCGGGAUGUAGGGAGAGGUAGCUGAGGUGAUCCAAAUGUCAACAUAGGAGAGGAGGGCUUUUUGGAUGUCUCGGCUUGGCAGGCCUGGAUUGGAACAUGGAAGGAUUCAGCGCUUGUUUCUUCUUUUUUGUAUUUUGAUUUUUGUAAUCAUUAUUACGCAUUUGUUCCUUGUGCAUGCCCCCUGCAAUUUAUAUCUGUUAUCAUAUUUUCCAAUUCACAUUUCUAUUUGACGAA